rnacentral:lncRNA from 1 species
GAGAGGCUGUGAUGGCGUCAACCCUGAUAACUCUGCUAACCCUCUCGAUCUUGGCAAUCUCCGCCACCGCCAGGCCCUGCAAAACCCUCCUCAUCUCCUCCUACUCCGUCUCCCUCCGCCGCCUCCCCUCCUCCUCUUCCUCCACUGGAUUCGUCACCGUCGUCACCGAGAUCCGACAGCUCCGUCCCAUCCGCUUCUUCUACGACGACGCCGUUUUGGCCCACCCCGAUGAGUCCCGCGCCCAGCCCCAGAGGACCAUGAUGCCUCUCCUCCCUCUCUCCACCGACCUCUCCUCCCUCCGCGAUCGCACCAAGGACAUCCUCAGCGUCGUCGUCGCCCUCCUCUUCGGCGUCGGCUGCGGCGCCCUCACCGCCGCCACCAUGUACUUGGCCUGGUCCCUCUUCUCCAGCCGCCACUCCUUUGAUGACGAGGACGAGGACGUCAGCCCUAAGAAGAUGGGGUACGUGAUGAUUCCGGAGGUCGUUGCAGCAGCACCGGUGAAAGAAGCCGCGGCGGUAUGAACAUGUCACACCUGGUUGAUUCCAUGUCUUGAGUUAUUUUUCUGUAUGAAAAUGUGGCACUUUGUGACUGUGUUUGUGGGAUGAUGAUGAUAAAUAAGCAUAUAUGGUACGCCCUGGUCUGUAUUGGUCGUCGUUUACGGCUCCAAAAUACUCUCUCUCCUU